rnacentral:rRNA from 1 species
UACCAUGCAAGUCGAACGCGUCGGAGGUACUUCGGUGUUUUCGGCGAGUGGCGCACGGGUGAGUAACGCGUAGGCAACCUGCCUUUGAGUGGGGAAUAACCCCGGGAAACCGGGGCUAAUACCGCAUGAUAUCCGGGUCUGCAUGGAUUCCGGAUUAAAGUCUUCGGGCGCUCAGAGAUGGGCCUGCGUUGGAUUAGCUAGUUGGUGAGGUAACGGCUCACCAAGGCUGCGAUCCAUAGCUGGUCUGAGAGGAUGAUCAGCCACACUGGCACUGAGACACGGGCCAGACUCCUACGGGAGGCAGCAGUGAGGAAUAUUGCGCAAUGGACGAAAGUCUGACGCAGCCACGCCGCGUGCAGGAUGACACCCCUACGGGGCGUAAACUGCUUUUUUGCGGGAAGAACAUUUCCGACGUGUCGGAAGCUGACGGUACCGCAAGAAUAAGGACCGGCUAACUCCGUGCCAGCAGCAGCGCGUAUACGGAGGGUCCAAGCGUUGUCCGGAUUCAUUGGGUGUAAAGGGUGCGUAGGCGGGCCUGUUAGUCAGGGGUGAAAUCCUGCGGCUUAACCGUAGAACUGCCUCUGAUACUGCAGGUCUUGAGUCCUGGAGAGGUCGCCGGAAUUCGUGGUGUAGCGGUGAAAUGCGUAGAUACCACGAGGAACGCCGGGGGUGUAGACGGGUGACUGGACGGGUACUGACGCUGAGGCACGAAAGCGUGGGGAGCAAACAGGAUUAGAUACCCUGGUAAGUCCACGCUGUAAACGAAGGAUAACUCGGUGUUGGUCUGAUUUAAUCGGAGCAACGCGCUAAAGCAAACCGCAUUAAGGAUCCCACACUGGGGAGUGACGAUCGCAAGGUUGGAACUCAAAGGAAUUGGCGGGGGCCCGCACAAGCGGUGGAGCAUGUGGCUUAAUUCGAUGCAACGCGAGGAACCUUACCUAGGCUCGAACGCUACUGGACAGUCCCGGAAACGGGAUCUUCUUCGGACUGGUAGUGAGGUGCUGCAUGGCUGUCGUCAGUUCGUGUCGUGAGAUGUUGGGUUAAGUCCCGCAACGAACGCAACCCCUAUCGCUAGUUACCAGCGGGUAAUGCCGGGGACUCUAGCGAGACUGCCCGCGCAAGCGGUGAGGAAGGUGGGGAUGACGUCAAGUCAUCAUGGCCUUUAUGCCUAGGGCUGCACACGUGCUACAAUGGGCGGUACAAUGGGUUGCCACUCCGCGAGGAGGAGCGAAUCCCAAAAGCCGUUCUCAGUUCGGAUCGAAGUCUGCAACUCGACUUCGUGAAGCCGGAAUCGCUAGUAAUCGCGUAUCAGCAACGACGCGGUGAAUACGUUCCCGGGCCUUGUACACACCGCCCGUCAAGCCAUGGAAGCUGGGGGCGCCCGAAGUCCGUGACCCAACCUUUGGGAGGAGCGGCCGAAGUA